UAUAUACAUAUAUAAUAUAUAGGUUCCCGUGAUUCACAGUUGUGGGUCGAAUACCCUAAAUUUUGAAUUCCACGAUACAACUCCCCGGCAAGUGUACAACGGAAUAUCCCAGCCAUGGAAAACAACUCAGCAGAGCUCAGUGAAUAAUUGGUACCCAACCUGGCCUGCUAAAGAAAUUAGACCACUGAAAACUGAUCCUGCUCAUUCUUCUUACUUGGCUGGUUCAGCCAAUUACCCGACUGUGAACGGCGUAGCACAACCAAGCUGGUCAGCGACCUGGACAAAAGAUGGCAAGAGGAGAGAGAAACGUUGGGUGAAGUACGAUGGGAUCGGGCCAGUGGAUGAGUCUGGGAUGCCCCUUGCCUCUCGAUCGAGUGUAGACAGUCCUAG